CCCUUAGACGUUCUGGGCCGCACGCGCGCUACACUGACAAAGGCAACGAGCUACUCUUCACCGAAAGGUGUGGUAAUCUUUUGAAACUUUGUCGUGCUGGGGAUAGAUCCUUGCAAUUUUUGAUCUUAAACGAGGAAUUCCUAGUAAGCGCGAGUCAUCAGCUCGCGUUGAUUACGUCCCUGCCCUUUGUACACACCGCCCGUCGCUACUACCGAUUGAAUGGUUUAGUGAGGACUCCUGAUUGGCGCCGCCGCCCCGGCAACGGAGCAGCGGACUGCCGAAAAGUUGUUCAAACUUGAUCAUUUAGAGGAAGUAAAAGUCGUAACA
rnacentral:rRNA from 1 species